rnacentral:rRNA from 1 species
AGAGUUUGAUCCUGGCUCAGGACAAACGCUGGCGGCGUGCCUAAAACAUGCAAGUCGAACGGCUCUUUCGGGAGCAGUGGCGGACGGCUGAGUAACACGUAGGUGACCUACCCUUGAGUGGGGAAUAACGGUCCGAAAGGAUCGCUAAUACCGCAUACGACCAUUCGGCUUCGGCCGGAUGAGGAAAGCCGCAAGGCGCUCGUGGAUGGGCCUGCGUCCGAUUAGCUAGUUGGUGGGGUAACGGCCUACCAAGGCGACGAUCGGUAGCUGGUCUAAGAGGAUGAUCAGCCAGACUGGGACUGUGACACGGCCCAGACUCCUACGGGAGGCAGCAGUUAGGAAUCUUGGGCAAUGGGCGAAAGCCUGACCCAGCAACGCCGCGUGGGUGACGAAGGCCUUCGGGUCGUAAAGCCCUUUUGCACGGGAAGAUGAUGACGGUACCGUGCGAAUAAGCCCCGGCUAACUACGUGCCAGCAGCCGCGGUAAUACGUAGGGGGCGAGCGUUGUCCGGAUUUAUUGGGCGUAAAAGGCUUGUAGGUGGCCACGCGAAGUCGGAUGUGAAAUCUCCCGGCUCAACUGGGAGGGGUCAUUCGAUACUGGCGGGCUCGAGGCCGGUAGGGGGAAGCGGAAUUCCGGGUGUAGUGGUGGAAUGCGUAGAUAUCCGGAGGAACACCAGUGGCGAAGGCGGCUUCCUGGACCGGUUCUGACACUGAGGAGCGAAAGCGUGGGGAGCGAUCCGGAUUAGAUACCCGGGUAGUCCACGCCGUAAACGUUGGGCACUAGAUGUCGGGGGUAUCGACCCCUCCGGUGUCGCAGCUAACGCAUUAAGUGCCCUGCCUGGGGAGUACGGCCGCAAGGCUAAAACUCAAAGGAAUUGACGG